rnacentral:rRNA from 1 species
AUUGAACGCUGGCGGCAGGCCUAACACAUGCAAGUCGAGCGGAUGAAGAGAGCUUGCUCUCUGAUUCAGCGGCGGACGGGUGAGUAAUGCCUAGGAAUCUGCCUGGUAGUGGGGGGCAACGUUUCGAAAGGAACGCUAAUACCGCAUACGUCCUACGGGAGAAAGCAGGGGACCUUCGGGCCUUGCGCUAUCAGAUGAGCCUAGGUCGGAUUAGCUAGUAGGUGAGGUAAAGGCUCACCUAGGCGACGAUCCGUAACUGGUCUGAGAGGAUGAUCAGUCACACUGGAACUGAGACACGGUCCAGACUCCUACGGGAGGCAGCAGUGGGGAAUAUUGGACAAUGGGCGAAAGCCUGAUCCAGCCAUGCCGCGUGUGUGAAGAAGGUCUUCGGAUUGUAAAGCACUUUAAGUUGGGAGGAAGGGCAGUAAGUUAAUACCUUGCUGUUUUGACGUUACCAACAGAAUAAGCACCGGCUAACUUCGUGCCAGCAGCCGCCGUAACAC